UCACCCCCUUCUCUGUACCCUCUGCUGUGUCUUCCAAGUAACCAAGUGUGCAACAAGCUCCAUGCCCAGGCCCUGGUCAUUUUCUUGGGAGACAGUGACUCUCUCACUCUCUGACCUGCGGUGUCACGGCUUCUCUGGAGCACUGUGACAAUCCUGCCACCAUUCUGGGAGAUUGUUCUCUAAAGCACGCUGGAUGCAUGACAUUUUUCACUUGCGACCUUUGAGAGUCUGGCCACAUCUCUGAGUGCUGCCGCAUGGCUCCUGUGUAGAAGCAAGUAUUUAGUCGGAUGAAUUCCUUUAGAAAACGUAGUCGCAGAUUUACUGAGGAGUGAAGAGAGGACUGAGCCAGGAGAAGGUGGCAUCAAUCUGUAUACAGCGUUUUUAGGAUUCACACGUGCUCUUGUUCUACGUUCACUUUCCGGGAGUUACCAGUUGUACUCCAGUAUCAUGCCGACCUGAAUAGUUGACUUACAGACCAGGAUUAGAGGAAAGUACAUGGAACGGAAAACCAAGAGCCUUGGAUUCCAGGCAGAUUCCUGCCAUUGUCCAGCAGGAGGAAGACGUGAGGAAGCUGCCUGGACGUGCAAACUACAGUUUUUUCCUUCAAGGAUUAAAGAGUGUGGCUUGACCCUUUCUAAGGUUCAAGAAUUCUAAGGUUUCUAAGAAUUAUACUUUGUUCCAAACUUUCACCUGCUUAUGUUCUUUCUUAAAUCUACUUAGGUUUUUUAAAAUUAAAGUCCCAUAUUUACCUUU